rnacentral:sRNA from 1 species
GCCGGGUGCAGUGGCGCACGCCUGUAAUCCCAGCAGCUCGAGAGGCUGAGACAGGAGGAUCACGAGUUCAAAGCAAGGCGUUAAGCAACUCAGUGAGACCCUGUCUCUA